GAUCACCAAGAUUUCCCCGGAGCAAAAACGGCCAACGAAAUCACCAAGAUCUCCCUGGAGCACAAACGGUCAGGAUUCCUGAAACACAGCCCAUAUAAGGCUCGUCAAAGAAAGCGGGAAGUUAAGUAUUGACUUCACAGUGAGGAAGACGAAAUUCCGAACUCCUGAGCUCGGCACACAGAUAGCCCACCAGCUUAUACAAAGAAUAAAAAAUCCGAGCUCCUUAAUCCGCUGAAUGGAUAGACUCACGAAGAAAGAAAGAGACCCAGCCUACAGCUCGGAUUAACUCACAGUAAAAAACACUUAGCAAAAAUGACCCUGGGAGAGAAAAAUGACAAAAAGCUCAACUCCCCACCCCAGUGGAGCAUACAGCCCAGACCGUAUCGACUGAC
rnacentral:lncRNA from 1 species